UACGUAGGUCCCGAGCGUUGUCCGGAUUUAUUGGGCGUGAAGCAAGCGCAGGUGGUUUAUUAAGUCUGGUGUAAAAGGCAGUGGCUCAACCAUUGUAUGCAUUGGAAACUGGUAGACUUGAGUGCAGGAGAGGAGAGUGGAGUUCCAUGUGUAGCGGUGAAAUGCGUAGAUAUAUGGAGGAACACCGGUGGCGAAAGCGGCUCUCUGGCCUGUAACUGACACUGAGGCUCGAAAGCGUGGGGAGCAAACAGG
rnacentral:rRNA from 1 species